UCUUGUACACACCGCCCGUUCACACCAUGAGAGUUUGUAACACCCAAAGUCGGUGGGGUAACCUUUUAGGAGCCAGCCGCCUAAGGUGGGACAGAUGAUUAGGGUGAAGUCGUAACAAGGUAGCCGUAGGAGAACCUGCGGCUGGAUCACCUCCUUCUAAGGAAUAAUCGAUCCACAAUU
rnacentral:rRNA from 1 species